rnacentral:rRNA from 1 species
GGUUGCGAUCAUACCAACACCAAUGCACCGGAUCCCAUCAGAACUCCGCAGUUAAGCGUGCUUUGGCGAGAGUAGUACUAGGAUGGGUGACCCCCUGGAAAAUCCUCAUGUUGCAACCCC